ensembl:lncRNA
GUUGAAAAGUGUAAUUAGUAGCUAGUACUUUUUACUAAUUAGUGUAACUUGCCCAGCACUGAUGUUGAUACUUUUAUAACAAUCAUAUAUAAUUCUUCCAUAGACUACCAGAAUAUCAUGCACUUAAACAAAUAAUCUUCCUAACCAAACUUAAAAACUGCACUGUUCAUUGUCUUUUCUCUCUUUAAUGUUUUCACUGUGACUUUAUGAAAUUUCAUUGAAUUAUUCUUAAUAUAUUUAUUACCAGACAAUUUUUAACCCACCUCUACAUGACGAGUGGUUCUUUAACUUCAUCUUAAAUAAAUGUAUGCAUUCUGUUUCUUUCUACCGGCCAAUCAGGAUUCAGAAAAAUAAAUAAAUAAACGUGCGGGGUUUGUUGUNUAUCUGGUAAUCUCAUUUAAGUAAACUGAUUACAUUUGAGGCCUUUUAAAGAUAUGUUUCAGAAUUACUUAUAUGCAUAUUCUUUAGUUGUUGGACAUUUAUUCUGAUUAUUGUUUAUUUGCUGUAUUUGUACAGUUUUACUUCUAACUCAUGAUGCAUUUCUUACUGGCAUCUUAUUAAAUGAUCCCCGUAAACCUCAGUGGGUGUGAUUUCCAGAAGAAACGACAACGAACUCGGUAGGAAUUUGGUGAGGGCGGAGUGAGUUAUAAAAUCUUCUCGCGAGCUUCCGCGGAUUAUUUUCACUGAUCCUCGUUCGAGUCAAAAGAGUAAAAUCCCAGUGGUUUCAUCUUAUGAGAUAGAGAGAAUAGUCCAGUGACUAUCUGGAAGGAUAGAAAUCGAAAAAGCCUCCAUCUGCGUCUUGGACUGCUGAAGAGGCCAGGCUGGGAGAUGGGAGUGUUGAUAAAGCAAACUUUGUUUGCGUCCCGCAUCUCAGCCAGAGAAAGCAUUCCUGGACUACCAAGACAUCCCCUGUCCGAGGGCAGUCAAUGAUUAAGGACCACAAAAAGCCAUCAAAAUCCAUUCAUAACUAUGUUUGGUAACCUUGAAAUUUGACAAACUACAACACAUCCACUUUCAGAGGCAUAUGUAUUCUUAAUGGCAGAUAUUUUUAGUACAAAAAUGUUGUUAACAUAUAAAUCAAUGCAUGCAUGAUAAUUCAAACUCUAUACAUUCAUAACAUUGCCAAAGGUAUUCUGGUGGUGGUUUGGGACGUGAAUAAUGCAUAGGUGAAACAGAAGUUGUGACUGUGAUGUCUGACAGAGGAGACGUAAAGCAUUUU